GAUUGGUCUCAGUGUGGCAAAUGACAUGCAUGCACACUAGCCCCUCAAUUCAUCUCCAUAAGGAAACCUGGAUUGGCCCCGAUCAUCAGUAAUGGUGAUCUCGCGGCUGCAGCAAGACAGACACAGCGGUGAAAUAAAGGUACACAAAUAAUUUUUCAUACUUCUGUGGGAACCAGACAUUUAAAUAGGUGUUUGUAUUCCUGACCCUGUAGUGUCCUUUAAUAUAGGUAUCUGGCUAAGUCAGAAAGCAUGUCGGAGAGAGAAAACGCGCGUCGGAGAGAGGGAGAAAGUGAGUGGGAGAGUGUGUGUGUGCGCGAAAUACAAAGUACAUGAUAUGGGUAUCAUUACCUUUUCAAGCUUUGCCAAUCCACAACUCGUUAACACUCAAACAACACACAGACACAACCCAGCACUAGCAGCAGCCAUACACUCAUACAUUUGGUGGGAUUUUGCUAUCUUGGCACAUUUAUGCAAGAAAUGGUUUAUUUGUGUUCUCUUGGGUAACGACAGCAGUGAUUCAGCAGUCUGCAACAAAAUUCCCACGGAUGCAAACGGAAUUUUCUGUCUUGGCUGGUAUCAUCGCACUUUACUCAAGAAAUCUCUAUAGAAAGAAAGGAGGGGAGUCCAGUGUGUAUGUGUGUGUGUGUGUGUGUGUGUGUGGUUCCCUCUCACUGCCGCAAAGCUGGGGACUUCCCACUGAGUCGGGUCUUUGCUUUCUCUGGAACUCUGUCUGGACCUAUCUGUUCCUCUUUUGGUCUCCAUUUCAUCAGACAUUAAUAAAUAAUAUAGAGGGAAAAAAAACACGCAAUAGCAGAGUAUCAUGUUAAUGAAAUGUAGUGUAGAGCAGGUGUACCUUUAACAUAAAGCGGCACUGUCACUGUCUGGGGGUUUUGCAUAAUUUACCAAGACACCCAACCGGUCUAGUGCUGGAGGGCAAGUUAAGAGGAGUUCUACUUACCUGUUACCUACUUACGUCUACACACUAAGCAAGCACCAGGUCUUAGUUUUACCACUAACUAGCCUAGCCAUACAUUCUAAAACUGAAAUCAAUGAAAGGCAGCAACAUUCUUUGUAAAUUCUAGAAUUCCAAUACAUCGGACUAGAAUGGUCAGUUGGUGUCAGUUCUUUCAGACAAGGGAGGUCUCGCUCUUGUUCUUCAUGAACAAAUAUGUUACAGUCAACUAAAAACUUCUAGCAUGUUCACAGCAAGGUCCUUUGGGUUUACACAUUGAAGGGACCAUGAAACCACCCAAAGUUCUUUAUCUCAGUGAAGUAGUCUUGGUGCCGUGGUCCUGUUAUUUUUACCCCAUAAUGACAAACACUAACGUUUUUAGGGUUAAACACACCUUUAGUGUCUGUCUUCCAGACAACCACUAGUUUCUCAAUGAGACGAGGAAGCCAUCCUCCUCAAUUAUGUAGUGGGAGGCGAAGAGAUGCUUCUCUGCACUGAAAAAAGGUAAUUAAAAAGUUAUGAGUUUUUUUUAUCAUAUUUUUUUUGGUGAUUUUACCCGGGAGGUCCUGAAUCUAAGGGAAAGGGGCAUUAGAGUGGCACACUGAAAUCCAAAAUUGCACAACAGAGUCUAAAAUAUCGAGUUGUGCCUGUAGUGGACUUGGAAUUUUUUUUAAUAUUAUUAUUUUUAUUUUUUUUAAGAUCACUCUUUUUGUUUAGUUUUGCAAUAUAUAUUUUAAUUUGUUAGAAUUCAAAGUUUAGUGAAUAAUCCCCAUCGCGUUUUAUCACUAUGAUGGAAAAAGAACAAUGUAUGUUUACGGAGACAUUGUGUCAGACUAAACAAUGCAUUGCAUACAAUACGCUAACAAGCUGCAUCAUGAAAUAUUUAGAAUUUACACCCCCCGUGGCUUUGCCUGUGUUUACAGUGGCACAACAGCUGCAUAAUGAGUACAAUUUCACCAUCAAUGUCAGCAUUAAAUAAAAUUACAAUGAGAUUAGGUAAGCGACUCUGUUGAUAUUGCCUGGAGACGUUUUGUUCGUAAGUCACAAAACAGUUUGAGGGUUUUUUACUAAAAACUCUUAAUAGCUGACAAAUAAAAUACAAAUGGUUAAUUUUAGGGCAAAAACUGUUGAUCUGGAACAUUCCCAUUUUAAUUGAUUAGCAAUUCACUAUUUAGUAAAUAGACUUCAAAUGGUGGAGAGCUUACCUCCUGCAGCUAAUUUCAGGUUAUUCGCUAACUAAAAUUGUAGCAAAUGUUGCCUAAAUGUGGUCAUUGAAAUUUUACAUUUUCUACAAUUGUUUAGUGAAUAAUCUCAAAUGAGUGUGAAAUGUGGCAAAAAAAACUUUGAACCCAUUUUAAUAAUUAAAAAUUUGAUCAGAGCCUAAGGAUUUGCAUUAAAAGUAGAAAGUUUUAAGACAUUGGGUCACUGCAGAAAAGUGUGAUGGAGACAUUUACACAUUUGCAUAUACAACACAGCAUUCUGGGAGACCUAUGGAAAUGCUGACUUUCCAAACUGGUGUAUAAGAGGCAGAUAAUUCAGGAAGUGGUAAUGGGUCUGAAAAUGAUUUAAUUCUAAGCUAGGGGGAUGUCACCAGGGGACUCGUGGCACUUAUAAGUAGAAUGCUGUAGCAUUUAUGGUGCUUAGAUAGCCCCUUUAAUCCAUUAAGGACACAACUUCUGGAAUAAAAGGGAAUCAUGCCGGAAUAUUUCCGUCAUGUGUCCUUAAGGGGUUAAAGACUCAAAAUAUGGGAGUAAUCUGGAGAUUUACAACUCUCUGUAGUGGUUAUGGUUCCAAGACUGACGUUUUUGACGGCACCUAGGGUCCGCCGUUACUUUGGCCGGUGAGCCAAAAGUUCCUAGAUAGAAAGGCUAAAAGAAGUAACUGCAUAGGGAUUUCUGGCUCUUUUAUAAAUUGCUUUUUCUGAGAAGGAAUAGUUUUCUCAUUGUGCUCUGUGCUGACUCCAGUGCUGUAAUGCAAUAAGCCAGUAAAUCUCUCCAUAGGAUCCCAGCCGCGCAGUCAUAAAAACAGCAUUAUUUAUUUUAAACCUUACUGCUCCGGAAACGCCUGUGUAUGCUGCCUGUUUAAUGAGCACUUAAUGAUGCGUUGCCUUCGCUUUAAAGAAAUGUUAUACAUCAUUAUUACUAAAUGGCAUUGGAGACGUGGGUAGCAUAUUGGGGGGGGAGGGGGAAAGAUAGUAAAUAGCGCAUUACCAAAGCAGACAGCAUUUUUUAAUAGCUUGUGACAUUGAAUAUGCAAGCUGUAGGAGCACAAGUUACAUCCAAGGGAGCUCUAACUACUAAUUUUACAAGCACUCUAAACACCUUAUAAAAUAUAAAGCAUUAUGUCUGUCACGCUCCAAGCACUUGCCACUGGUUGGCUAAUCACUAUAUAUAAGGGGGGGCAUUUGGAAAUUUGAGAAAAAAAAAAAGCUUGGCAAUGGAUAGCAUAAAUUUUAUUUCGAGUAUCGCCUUUAAAAAGCAGCAGUGUUCUAAUUAUGCUACAUUCAUAUGAUCUCAGAGUCAUUAAACCACCAAAAAAAAAGGCACUUCUAAUGUAAUGUUAUGAUUAAGGGGUUGUAGGGUUGUUGUAACUUAGGGUGCUUGGCAUCAGUGUUAAGGGGGACAUGACUGACAUAGCAAGUUCUCAGUCAUCUACAUGGAGAUACCAGUGCAUGAAGGUACCAUGGGCACGACUCAAAUCUCGCGCUCUGAAUCCUGAGGAUGAGAUUUAAAAAUGAUCCUCUACUUUUGUGGACAAAUAUAUAACAUUUUCAAAUUUAAUGGCAUUGCAUGAAAAGUGCUGGUCUGUAGUAUGUAGCAGUCAGAUGCUGUGCAAAUAAAAACAAACUUAUCAAGACAGUUCCUGUCUGGCAAUACUUUUCGUAGAAAUGUUGUGUGACCCGGAGAACAUGAUCAUACUGGCAACCCCAAGUAAUGCAAGGGUUUUGGUAUUUUUUUGUUUUUUUUAAUGAAAUACAUUAGAAACAUGUUUUAGCCAAAAUUCCUCUUUAAGAGAAUUCUACACAGCAAUAAAGAUUUUAUCAACAGACAUUGAAGUAAUGUGAGGCCUGGCAAGUCAGGGUGGCUAGAAGCGUUGACAGCGAUAAGAAGCUUGUGCAACAAGGCGGAAUCUCGUUAACUUGUGCACAAAAACAACCACACGUUGAUUUACUUCCAGAACCAAUGAGACUUCAAUAGUGCAACUUCACUGUCAGCAAUGACGGAAUUAAAAAUGAGCUGGAAACUAAUAAACGUCUCCCGUGUCUGAGGCUGGGAGUGAGAGGCAUUGUUUGUUCUCACUUUGGGUGGAACAGGUAUACAUUUUCUGGGUCAAACAAUGCUAUUAUUUAAUUCUGCGCCUGCCCCAACCUGUGCCUGUCCUCACAGCUGCGCAUUUGCUAUAGAAAAGUACAAAAUCUAGAAUGUAAGCUCCUUUGAGCAGGGCCCUCAACACAAUCUGUUCCUGUGCAUCUAGCUUGCCUUUUUCCAAACACAUGUCUGUUAGUCCACCUAUUGUACAGCGCUAUGGAAUUUGUUGGCUCCUUAUACAUGAUAAAAUGCAUGCACAUACAGUCAAACAGCAACUUGCAAGAAUGGGACAGGCAUGAUUACUUCAUUCUAGGGCAGAAACCUCCAAGAUUGGCCAUUCCAGCUCUGGUUGACUGUUUCCCAUAAUGCUCAGCUGGUUUAAUGGCCAACGUUAGCCAGCACUGAUCUAGCGUGGCCACAUGUCACAGGAUGCUCAGUCAGUAUCAUGGCCACAGUCAGCCAGCACUGAUUUGGAGUAGUCAUGUGUCCUCAAUGAAAUUUAGGGAGAGUUAGUAAAAUUUAACAAGGGGUUGAUAUAGCGGCAGGAGACAUCUGGAUUUUUAGCACUUGUAAACUAACCAUAUCCUUAUAGAAACACUGUCACUUUUCACGUGCCGGCAUUUUUUGCAACGACCUCGUAACAGGUGAAACAUCUGCUAGAUUAUCUCCAAUCCCUGGCCUAUGAAGCUGGUAGGAGACAUAUCAACGUUCUACUCUCACGCAUGCAGAAGAAAGUGAAACGUAGACGUGUGAAAGUCAAAUUCCUAAAUAAAGAGCAAAGCUUUAUUUUAUCUGGUUAGACUUUAAGGUGUCACAAUCCUUUGCACCAGGCCUAGAUCACGUACCAGCAUUGGCAGUAAAUAUUUUUCUGCUUGUGUCUCUUAAUCACUUUAUGCAGGUUAUUACAUACUAUUAAGAAGGCUGUCAAAUAUUAGGCCCUUUUUGUUACCAGUUACUGUUUACCUUGCAAUCAAAAUGUAUUUGUUUUAGAUGAAUCAAUACGCUCGGUGACUUUAUCCCUAAUGUGAAUUUUGUACGGUGUAUUGGCCUACUCCAGAUUCAUUGUCAACGCUGUGAUACAGUAUUACACCCGAGUUCCAAAAUAAAGAUUUGAAAAAAAAAAAGGGAAGACCAUAGAGACCAUGGCCCUCAACUGACAUAUAUUCUUUCUAUAGUACAGCACUGAUUUUAAGCAAAAUUGGAAGCUCACUAAUAUUAAAGCUUUCUUUUCUCGCUAGUUUUGAAAACCAUGAUCAGCCAUUUGAUGUUCUCCCCUCCGCCGCACUGCAGGUUGGGGGCAUAUUGGAAAUUUUAAGCCUCCCUAAAGUUAGACGAUAGCCAUAUUGACCCUCUUAGGUUUUAUUUACAUUUCUUUUAAACGUUUUAAUGUGGCGGGUGACUAGCAAGACUAGCCAGCUGCACAUAACUAUUCUUUUAUUUUAUUUUUUACUCUUUGCCCACUGACUGCUAGUGCCAACUAGAAGGAAUUCAGACGUUUAAAAUCUAGGUUCGGAUUUCGGCAACAGUUGGAUUGGUGGAUUUUCACAUUUGCACUGCAGGUAACCAAUUCGGGUUUCUGUGAGCUGCACUGGAUUAGACUAGGAUCGUAAGCAAUGCUGAUCUCAAAAGAGGGGGAGCAGCUACAACAAGGAGACUGUCCAGGACAUCAAACUUUAAGGGUGUAAAUUUUAUUUAUUUUUUUAAAUAUGGUGUUCCUUUAAUUCUGCUUGUUGCAUUUCAUCUAACGUCUAGAUCUUAAAGGGAUAGUGUUAGGAAUACAAAUUUGUAUCGUAGCACUAUAGUGCCCUCUGGUUCCCCCUCCCUUGCGCCCCCCUCUAGCUCAUAAAAGGUUAAAAACAUUUUAUUCACUUACCCGAUUCCAGUGCCGAUGUGUGUCGGCGCUGGGUCUCCGAUCCGCUUCCUCGGACGUCGGACAGGGGGGACCUACUGCACAUGUGUGAUGAUUGCUGCAUGUGCAUUAGGUCCUCCCUAUAGGAAAGCAUUGAAUCAAUGCAUUCCUAUGAGGAGUUCACAGACUCUGGAUGUCCUCAUGCGGAGCGUGAGGACGCCAAGCGUCCCUUUGGUGACAGUCCGGUAAGAUCUCGGGAGAGACUUUAGUGGCUGUCUGGUGGACAGCCACUAGAGGUGGUCUUCGUACUGCAAUGUAAACAUUGCAGAUUCUCUAAAACUGCUAUGUUUUACAUUGCAGGACUAAGUGUGACAGAGGUACACUGCAGCCAGACCACUUCAAUGAGCUGAAGUGGUUUGGGUGCCUAUAUUGCGUCCCUUUAAAGAAGUUACCACAAAUGCAUCAAAUAUCAGCUGUACGUACGGCUCAUGUAAAAACUAAUUCAUAAAACUUUGCUAAUCACUCCUGUUCUAUACGCUGUACAAAAAAAGAUAUAUAUUUCCCCCCAAAACUUCCGCUUUUGUCUCUUAGGGACAAAAAUGUCAUGUUGCAACAGAUUCUGCCUAACCCCUUGACAUAAAGGAUUAAAGGGACACUCCAGGCACCAAGACCACUUCUGCCCAUUGGAGUGGUCUGGUUGCCAACUCCCACUACUCUUAACCCUGCAAGUGUAAUUAUUUUAUUUUUAUAUAAAACUGCAAUAAUUACCUUGCAGGGUUAACUCUACCUCUUGUGGCUGUCUACUUGGACAUUGUAAAUAAUAACAAAUUAAAAAUAAUAGGGUUUUUUUUUGUCUUGUUUUUAAACUCAAUGGAUGGACAGAAAUGCUGAGGAGGGGAGGGGGGCUAACUUGAAAUGUUUUGCAGAUCCCCAGCUAAUAUUAACAGAGGCCCAAAUGGGGGUAGAAGCACUAACCCUAAUACAUUCCAGGUUCCAGACAGAAAGCCAUUCAGUAAACAUGUCCGUCUCACUUACCAUCAAGACCUGUCUGACCCCCACAAUGGUGCCUUAUAAAUUAAAGGUCAACCACUUUAAUCAAGAAGCCAGGGUUUAAACAGAAACACAAACACAGAGACAUUUAUAUGUAUUUAUUUAAUUUACUUUUUUUUGUACCUUGUGUUUUCACCAGAUGUUUUCUGUUAAUCAACAACAUUUUAUGAACAUAAAAAUGACUAGACCCCCCGGCCAUCUGGGAUAUAGGUUUUAAUGUCGCCUUGUAGAUCUGUAAAGUGAUAGUCAUGCCCCCUAAAGCUUCAGCCCGCCAUCUUAGCACAUGCUAGGUCUAUUGAUCAGGCACCAAGCAUGUAGUGUUUAGGAUGAGAAGAGGGUGAAAGUGGCCACCUGGCUGAUGUAUGAGUCAAGGGGCAAUGCAUUCCUUAUUUUAUUUACCCGCUUGUGAAUACCGGGUAAGUGACCCUAAUAAGUGCAGCAUUAGACUCUGGAUCUGUGCCAACUGUAAGGAAUUCAAUUCAUAUGAGAACAUUCAUAUGCAGGAGAACCCCAAGAGGAGCUGGCCAGCAUUGUGGCCUGUCCGUCAGGUGAGCAUUCACAUCAGCCCCCUCUUACAGGUGAGACUGUCUACAUUCACAUCUUUAAAACGUCCCCAUCUGGUCUGCUCAUCUCCCAGUCUUGCUGUCAUCUCUGCAUGUUAUACUAUCUAAAAUAAUGAAAAUCCAACACCUCGAAAUAGGAAAGUUACGAAAAAAAAAGGACUGAUCAUAUUGGCUUCCUGCGAGGGACACUUGGGUGAUAUGUCCUCAGCACUAGCAAACAACGCGUGAAGCCACAGAUAUGGAAAGCAAAAAAAAGUGUGUUUAUUUUUAAACGCUUGGUUCCUGCUCCUGUCAAACACUGAUAAAAGGAUGAUGUAUUUAAAAAUAAAUAAACCAUUACUUCUUUCUGUCCCCCUCCCGAUUUAGGACAGUAACUAUGGUUCUAUUAGUAAAUAUCCCUGGGAAAUCCACAGAACUUUCAAUUCUAUCUAUUUUAAAAAAAAAGUUAAAUUCCCCUUAACUGGAAGCUAUAAACAGAUAUAGGAUUAUAUUUUAAACAUUAACAAGUUGUUAUUAUUUUAAAUCACCAACAUAGUGCAUAACGCUGUGCACUGGGUUUGGUCAGUAAGCCUCACUAUGAGAAGUCAAUACGAUAUUUCUUUAGUAACUAUUUGCAAAUUAAAUUAAUGUUUUGUCCCUGAUACAAACAUGCUAAGCAUCACCUGUCUGCAUUACCGGUUUGUUUUAUGUUAACAUAGUUACGCAACAUUUGGGUACUGCUAGCGCUCCCUUGCAUGCCUUCGCCUGUCAGUGCAAAAUAUCAUAUUAUUCAGAGGCUUAUGGCACACAUGCGUGGCUAAUCAGGAGCUGUGCCAAUCUGGGAGAGAUUGGUUGUUGCUCAGGUGUGAACUAGCCCGAUUGUGUUGUAAAAACUGAAUUAUAUAAUUAUUGUAAGAAUCAAAAGUUUCCACUCACCACAACCCAUUGGCAUGUGAAAAUUCCACCAUGGCGAGUAGAUAUUCAGACAUGGUGAGUGUGCUAUGGACUCUCCAAGCUUGCAAUGGCUAGUAUGUUUUAGGGACUGGCUAGUAUCGCAAGACUUGAAAUUUUUAAUCGAAAAUAGUUUAUUAUUUAUUUAAUCAUAAGUAUCACUGUCAGUUUGUAUACAUUGCUUAAGAGGACUUCCAUUUCCAGUGCCCCUCUAAAGUCAUACUCAAUAACAGACGUACCCAACAUCAAGUUGAUAAUUAGGUUUUGCUAUUUUGUUUUACAGAAUCCAGUCAGGGAUCCAAAAUGGAUGAGCAGAGGUCACGGCCUCCAAGCAGCUGCCAUGUUUGACACUGGCAUCAUGUCAUAGACCUCAACUGAUCUGCAACUAUUGUCCAUUAGACAAUCACACGUUGACCAACACAGCUAUAAAACCAUGUGUUUUACGUGAAGUGACAGCUUGACACAUGCAAAACAUGCAAGCUCCGACAAUCCUUUCAACCUCAAUGUGUCACUAAAGGCUGGGCAUGGGUUAGCCCCAUCACACACUGACCUCCCUGACUAUAAAAGGCAGAGGUGUGAUAAUAUUACAUAAAGACACGGGUGUGAUACCAUAUUUUAGACAGCUGUCAUGAAUCCCUAUUACACCACCCAAACAUAAAUUUCAGAACAAAUUUAUAAAUAGUAACCGAUCAACAACAUUAAGGAAAAAAAUAGCAGGUUUG
rnacentral:lncRNA from 1 species